GGAGAGGUGGCUGAGUGGCUGAAGGCGCUCGCCUGGAACGCGAGUAUCUGCUGAAAGGUGGAUCGAGGGUUCGAAUCCCUCCCUCUCCGCCA
rnacentral:tRNA from 1 species